rnacentral:rRNA from 1 species
GUCGAGCGGAUGAGUGGAGCUUGCUCCAUGAUUCAGCGGCGGACGGGUGAGUAAUGCCUAGGAAUCUGCCUGGUAGUGGGGGACAACGUUUCGAAAGGAACGCUAAUACCGCAUACGUCCUACGGGAGAAAGUGGGGGAUCUUCGGACCUCACGCUAUCAGAUGAGCCUAGGUCGGAUUAGCUAGUUGGUGAGGUAAAGGCUCACCAAGGCGACGAUCCGUAACUGGUCUGAGAGGAUGAUCAGUCACACUGGAACUGAGACACGGUCCAGACUCCUACGGGAGGCAGCAGUGGGGAAUAUUGGACAAUGGGCGAAAGCCUGAUCCAGCCAUGCCGCGUGUGUGAAGAAGGUCUUCGGAUUGUAAAGCACUUUAAGUUGGGAGGAAGGGCAGUAAGUUAAUACCUUGCUGUUUUGACGUUACCAACAGAAUAAGCACCGGCUAACUUCGUGCCAGCAGCCGCGGUAAUACGAAGGGUGCAAGCGUUAAUCGGAAUUACUGGGCGUAAAGCGCGCGUAGGU